GACGAACGCUGGCGGCGUGCUUAACACAUGCAAGUCGAACGGUAAGGCCCUUCCUUUGUGGGGUGCUCGAGUGGCGAACGGGUGAGUAACACGUGAGUAAACUAACCUUGACUUUGGGUUAACAUCACGGCACUGGGGCUAAUCCCGUAUAGGAGCUCCUGCUUCUUGGUGGGGGUUGGUCUGUUUCGGCGGUUGGUUCUGGAAUCGCGGCUGAUGCGAUCGAUGGUGGGGUAGUGGCUUACCAAGGCUUUGAAGGGUGGCAGGCCUGAGAGGCGGACCGGCCACAGUGGAACUGAGAUGCGGCCCAGACUCCUACGGGAGGGGGCAGUGGGGAGUAUUGCACAAGGGGCGGAGGCCUGAGGCGGCAACGCCGCGUGCGGUAGGACGGCCUUCUGGUUGGAAACCGCUGUCGCCUGUGACGAAGCGUGAGUGACGGUAAUGGGUAAAGAAGCACCGGCUAACUACGUG
rnacentral:rRNA from 1 species